UACGGGGGGGGCAAGCGUUGUUCGGAAUUACUGGGCGUAAAGGGCUCGUAGGCGGCCAACUAAGUCAGACGUGAAAUCCCCAGGCUUAACCUGGGAACUGCGUCUGAUACUGGAUGGCUUGAGAUUGGGAGAGGGAUGCGGAAUUCCAGGUGUAGCGGUGAAAUGCGUAGAUAUCUGGAGGAACACCGGUGGCGAAGGCGACAUCCUGGACCAACACUGACGCUGAGGAGCGAAAGCCAGGGGAGCAAAGCGGG
rnacentral:rRNA from 1 species